AGAACGAACGCUGGCGGCAUGCCUAAUACAUGCCAGUCGAACGAAGGCUUCGGCCUUAGUGGCGCACGGGUGCGUAACGCGUGGGAAUCUGCCCCUUGGUUCGGAAUAACAGUUGGAAACGACUGCUAAUACCGGAUGAUGACGAAAGUCCAAAGAUUUAUCGCCAAGGGAUGAGCCCGCGUAGGAUUAGCUAGUUGGUGAGGUAAAGGCUCACCAAGGCGACGAUCCUUAGCUGGUCUGAGAGGAUGAUCAGCCACACUGGGACUGAGACACGGCCCAGACUCCUACGGGAGGCAGCAGUAGGGAAUAUUGGAC
rnacentral:rRNA from 1 species